rnacentral:rRNA from 1 species
UACGGAGGAUGCAAGCGUUAUCCGGAAUGAUUGGGCGUAAAGCGUCCGCAGGUGGCUGUGUAAGUCUGCUGUCAAAGAGCGAAGUUCAACUUCGUAAAGGCAGUGGAAACUACACGGCUAGAGUGCGUUCGGGGCAGAGGGAAUUCCUGGUGUAGCGGUGAAAUGCGUAGAGAUCAGGAAGAACACCGGUGGCGAAGGCGCUCUGCUAGGCCGCAACUGACACUGAGGGACGAAAGCUAGGGGAGCGAAUGGG